rnacentral:snRNA from 23 species
AUACUUACCUUUUUGGGAGCACAGCGAUCAAGCAGGCUGGCGCUCUGAAGAGACUUCGUGCAUUGCACAGCGCGCAGAAGACUCUUCAUGGAUGUCCUUCGGGGCCUCUACCAGAGCAAUUUUUGAUAUCAAACACCUUGUGUGUCUA